rnacentral:rRNA from 1 species
AGCGAACGCUGGCGGCAGGCUUAACACAUGCAAGUCGAACGAUAAGCUAGACUUCGGUUUAGUGGACAGUGGCAGACGGGUGAGUAACGCGUGGGAAUCUACCUUUGAGUGGGGAAUAACAAUUAGAAAUGAUUGCUAAUACCGCAUACACCCUCCGGGGGAAAGGCUUCGGCCGCUCUUAGAUGAGCCCGCGUACGAUUAGUUUGUUGGUGAGGUAAAGGCUCACCAAGACUACGAUCGUUAGCUGGUUUGAGAGGAUGAUCAGCCACACUGGGACUGAGACACGGCCCAGACUCCUACGGGAGGCAGCAGUGGGGAAUAUUGGACAAUGGGCGAAAGCCUGAUCCAGCCAUGCCGCGUGAGUGAAGAAGGCCUUAGGGUUGUAAAACUCUUUCGACAGGGAAGAUAAUGACGGUACCUGUAUAAGAAGCUCCGGCUAACUCCGUGCCAGCCGCCGCCGUAACAC